GACAGUUUAGUUGAAUGGUAAAACACUUGACGUGUAAUCACAGAGAUGUGAGUUCGAGUCUCAUGUCUGGCC
rnacentral:tRNA from 1 species